UACAGAGGUCCCAAGCGUUGUUCGGAUUCACUGGGCGUAAAGGGCGCGUAGGCGGUUUUUUAAGUGAGGCGUGAAAGCCCUGGGCUUAACCUAGGAGGUGCGUUUCAUACUGAAAGACUUGAGUACGAGAGAGGAAAGUGGAAUUCCUAGUGUAGAGGUGAAAUUCGUAGAUAUUAGGAAGAACACCAGUGGCGAAGGCGACUUUCUGGCUCGUAACUGACGCUGAGGCGCGAAAGCGUGGGGAGCAAACAGG
rnacentral:rRNA from 1 species